GACAGAGGGUGCAAACGUUGUUCGGAAUUACUGGGCGUAAAGCGCGUGUAGGCGGCUACGCAAGUCGGAUGUGAAAUCCCGUGGCUCAACCACGGAAGUGCACCCGAAACUGCGCAGCUGGAGUCUCGGAGAGGAAGGUGGAAUGCUUGGUGUAGAGGUGAAAUUCGUAGAUAUCAAGCGGAACACCGGUGGCGAAGGCGGCUCUCUGGGCCUUACCUGACGCUGAGGCACGAAAGCGUGGGGAGCAACAGG
rnacentral:rRNA from 1 species